rnacentral:rRNA from 1 species
GUUUUAUAAUUUGUUUUAUUAGUAUUUAUAUAUUAAAUUUAUAUUAAAAUAAAUUAAAUUAUUUUGUUGGGGUGACAGAAAAAUUAAAAAAACUUUUUUUAAAAUAAAAAAUCACUUAUAUGUGAGAAAAUGAUCCAAAAUUUUUGAUUAUAAGAUAAAAU